UCUACUUUAUGCGAUCAUUGCCUAUUUGUGAUCAUGGAGAGGUAAAACGGUGUUAGCUAUUCAUUCUAUCAUAAUUAGUGAUGCUGUCAACAAUGCCAUAUUAUAGAAACUGUAAUCAGAUGUGCAUUAGAUAAAGUAUCAGUGGUGCUGUAAUUUUUAUUAAAAUAUAUUAAUGGAAAUAGGUGGAGAUUUCACUGCAAGAAAUUUGUAUAGUUACAAUUUUGAUAAUAUAAUUACAACAUUGUAACUCCACAGAGUUCGUAGCUAUUAAGCUCAAGGAUCAUACCAUGACACUAUGGGAGAGGGUAAUUGAAUAUAUGUUAAGAAGUCAAAGUCAAUAAAGAAUAAGUUUUGCAUUUGGCCAAACAUAUCUUCUAUGGAAGUCAUGCACCUAUCUCAGAAAUUGAUUAACAAAUAUAUAGAAAAGAAACAAGAUUUGCUUAUGAUUUUUAUUGAUACUGAAAAGAGCAUAUAAUAGGAUGCCUAAAGAGACAAAUUGUAUCUAAGAUAUUUUAAUACAAUAUUAUUGAAAAUGUAUUUAGCGAAGAAGUCACGAGAACAAGUUUAGUAGUUAUGGUAGUAAAGAAUGCUCUAUGUCUAUAGUUUUACAUAAAGGUUCUGCUUCUUGUUUUGAAGUUUAUGAAGGUUUUUCUUUUUGUUUUUUUCAUGCAAUUGGUGUGGUUUUUUUUUUUUUUUCAUAUAUAAAAGUUUUGUUCAUGGAAUUGGAGAAUUUUGAUUUUCUCAGCUCCUCUUUUUAAUCCUCUGCUCAUAAUGACAUAGUUAAUCAAAACUUGAACGAUCACCAGUUCUAGACUGAUAUCAAUUAAAAGUGUCAGAAAAUAAUACUUAGUCAAUUAGUCUAUUUGACACAGAAAUGAUAACAUUCAAUUCAAAGAAGUAGGUAAAGCCUUAGGGUUGAUUAUUGAUGUAUUGCUUCUUUCGGGGCUGCGACUUUUCUUAAUUAUACAGGAUCAACAGUUGAUUCAAAAUAUAACUGCACUCCAUUUUAUACCUGCAUGGAUAAAUAACAAUGUAACUGACGUUUGUUGGUGUUUCAGCUCUGCUUGAAGUUACAAAAAAAGCUAACUUCAAUGAUAUUAAAAGUCGAAUCUUAGCUGGAUAUGCAACUGGAAGGUACUGUAUUAUAUAAAUGACCAUUCCACAUUCAAAGGCGUUUAUGUUAAUGCCAGAGUGAAUUUAGCAGAGGAAUUUGAUUGACAUAUGCAUAGAUGAAUUCUAUUGGAUAUAUAAAGGCUUGCUUAGGUAACACUAAUGGCAACUAACUCUAAUUUACUUUGUAUGAAAACGAAAAUUGUAUUUGAAGAAAUCUCAGAUAGAAACUUGGCUAAAUGAAUGGUAUACUAGUCAAAGUUUUCUGUUUCUACUAGAUAGAAGAACUGUAAAUGCUUAGUUUUCUUUUCUUAAAUCGAUUGAGGAAUUCUGGUAACUUGGCGUUGCGAGUAUUUUAGGUGGUAAGUUAAUUGUGAGCAGCGCUAAGGAAAUUGCUAUAUGGAUAUGGUAACACUUGACUGUACCAAUCAAGUAUUUUGUCACUUUUUUCCUUGUGUACAUAGCUAAUUGAUUCCUUGUAUUUUGGAAUGGCAACUAGUCGAUUAGCUAUCUUCAAUGCAUCUAUAUUUUUCUCGUGCAAGAUUGCUGAGAACGAGCAUGAGCAUGGAUUGCUAUCUAAAAGUCUUUAUAUGAAUAAAAACCAACUUAGACUUGCGAUGGUGGUGACUUUGCCAUAGAAUGUGAAAUAAAACUAGACCCUGAAAAGAAAGUUAGAAUAGUCAUGUAGAUACUAGUAAUCCACAAGACAAGUCAUAAGCUUGCAUUUUUACUCAGCCUUAUAUUACAAAUUAAUAGAUAAGUUUGGCUAAGCUUUACAAAGUCCACUUCUAAGUAAAUACGUAAGUUUUUAAGAUAAAUAACUUGUUUUGUUGGUCGAAAUUGGAAAUAAGCAACUAACUUAUUUUACUUAGAAGUGAGAAAAAAAGUAACUUAUCAGAAAAAGUUUAAAAAUAAUAAUUUACUCAAAAAGUACCUCUGCUUACAUUUAAGCUUAGCCAUAUAUGCUCUUAGUAGGUAGUCAGAUCUGCUGUUCAUGAUCCUAGUGAUUUUAAGCACGUUUACCAUUUUACCUUAGUGAUUAUAACGAUUACAUUUAGUAGAAUGACAUCAGUUCAUUCAAUUUACAUUAAUUUAACUGUUAACUGUCUUUAAAAGCUGCUAACGACGUGAUCUUCUAUUCCUAAACGAUGGAAACUGGUCCAACUGGCUUCAACUAGGAUAAACCAAUAUUAGUUGCACGGCGAAUAUCAGACAAGUAUCUUCCACAAUCCAUGGCAGAAGAAUUUCAAAAAGGGAAUUCCGAUUUGGUAAAGCUCAAGCUGAUUGAAGGCACCAGUCAUAUGCCUCAGGGGUACUUUUAAUAUAACUACCGAAAACUAUUGAUGUGUAUUUACCGUUAUUUUUUCUGCUUCCUUUUACCAUUUUAACUUUACAGUCUGGAGAAAGUAGUCGACGCCUUGAGAUAUUUUUUUCUGAUGCACAAAACGGAUAUUUACAUUGCUGAUCUGCUCAAAGGCUAAUCUUUUUAAAGGUAGAUUCUGAACCUAGGUACAAUUGUAUAUGUAUGUUAUAAAUAAUGCUUUUUAUACUUCAUAGUUACAGA
rnacentral:lncRNA from 1 species